rnacentral:rRNA from 1 species
AACGUAGGAGACAAGCGUUAUCCGGAGUUACUGGGCGUAAAGGGCGUGCAGGUGGCGCAGUAAGUCUGUUGUGAAAGCCCCUGGCUUAACCGGGGGAGGCCAAUGGAGACUGCUGAGCUAGAGGACGGUAGAGGCGUGUGGAAUUCCGGGUGUAGUGGUGAAAUGCGUAGAGAUCCGGAGGAACACCAGAGGCGAAGGCGGCACGCUAGGCCGUACCUGACACUAAUACGCGACAGCAUGGGGAGCGAAC